ACCUACAUAUAUAUUUUAAACAAACGGCAAUCAUUUAACUUCACAUCACUCUGGAGGGAAUGCCACUGAAGAUAAAUAUAUCGAUCUCCUAUCGUUAUUUCAAAUCAUAGAUCUCCUACAAAAUAAUUUCUUACACUCAAACUCUUUAAUGGCCAAUCGUUCCUUAUCCUAUACAUCAUUCUUUACCAUUUUGCAGCUCUUAUGGAGUUGCACCUUUUAUGCCAAUGGAUGCUACACUUCAAUCACCAGCUUCGGAGACUCCCUAGCAGACACUGGUAACCUAAAACAGCUUACCUCUGAACUAAAUCAACCUCCAUUACAUUUAUUUUUACCACCUUAUGGUGAAACCUUUUUUCAUGAGCCUACUGGUCGUUGCUCCAAUGGUCGCCUCAUCAUUGAUUUCAUUGCUGAGUACCUCAACCUGCCACUGGUGCGACCAUUUUUCAAUGGCAAUGGAAGCAUGGAAUUGGGACAAGGAGUAAAUUAUGCGGUGGCAUUUGCAACUGCAUUAAAUAAUUCAUUUCUUGAAGCCAGAGGGGUUUAUAACCCUAUAACUACAAAUAUAUCUUUAGGAGUUCAGCUGGAGUGGUUCAAACAAUCGAUUUGUGCAAAUGUUUCAGAUUGUAGUCACCUAAUCGAACAUUCCUUAUUUCUCAUGGGUGAGAUUGGAGGAAACGAUUAUAACCACGCCUUACUUGCUGGGAAAUCCAUCGAUGAGGUUGGAACAUAUGUUCCAUUUGUUGUCGAGACCAUUAUCUCAACGAUUAAUGAACUUGUUGAGAUGGGGGCCAAGACAGUACUUGUGCCAGGAAACCUACCAAUUGGAUGUUCUGCAGCAUAUUUAACAUUGUACAAUAGCUUUGAUUCUACAAAAUAUGAUAAUUUAACUGGUUGCCUUAUACAAUUUAACAAGUUUGCGGAGUACCACAAUAAACUUCUAGUGACAAAAUUAAACCAAGUUCAAGAACUUCAUCCUGAUACCAAUAUCAUCUAUGCUGACUAUUACAAUGCAGCCAUGCAAUUUUUUCGUUCCCCAGAAAAAUAUGGAUUUGAAAAUGGAGCUCUAAAAGCAUGUUGUGGAGGUGGAGGGACAUUUAACUAUAACGAUUUAAUACUAUGUGCAAACCCAACAUCAACUGUCUGUUCUAAACCAUAUACAUAUGCUAAUUGGGAUGGAUUACACUUAACGGAAGCAGCAUAUAAAGUUAUCAGCAAGAGCUUAUUGCAAGGACCAUACACGGUGCCCCAAUUCAACUCCCUAUGCCCUACUUCAAUGUUAAAAGAGGGAGAUGGAUUAUCAAGUUUUAUAUAAAAAAAAAAACGCACGCAGAUUACAGUUCCUCUUCAUUUCCCUUUCUGUUUGCUUCGAGUUCCUUCACCAUUUUUCCGAUUUUCUUCUUCAAUCAGCUUCUUUCAAGCAAAUUUCUCCCCUCAUUGUUCCAAGCAAGUGUCCCUAGGUGUGGUUAAAGCUUUGGGAUCAAUUUCUACCUCCAUUUCUUGAAGAAAGAAGCAUUGUUCCAAGCAAGUGGUUAAAGCUUUGGGAUCAAUUUGUAGGUGCCUCCAUUUGUUGAAGAAAGGUAAGUUUUUUUUUUAUGAUUUCUUUUUUAUUUUGUAUGAAUUUUGAUUUGUAGCUUUAUGUAGUGAUUGAAUGAUAAUAAAUUGUUCAUAUUUUUGUUUUUGGUGGUAUUGUUUUGGAUUAGAAGCAAGUUAUUCAAUUUUUUGUUUGUGGUUAUUUAAUUGCAAUUAGUUGUAUAGCUUCAAGUUGUAUUUAUAUGUGAAAUUAUGUGAUAAUUGUCAUAUGUGAAAAUUGGAUUGUAUAUUUUGUAUUUGUUUGAAUAUAUGUGAAUUUGGUAUAUAUAUUCCAAUGUAUGUGUGUUUGAUGUAUAUGUGGUAUAUUAGUAGAAGUUAUAUGUAUUUGUUAUAAGUAGAAUGUUAUUGUGUGUAUGUGAAUGUAUGUAUGUUUGUUGUAAAUGUGAUAUAUGAUUGUGAAACUUUUGUAUUUGGUAUAAAUAGGAUGUUAUUAUGUAUAUAUGUGAAAUUAUGUGUAUUUGGUUUAAAUAGGAUGUUAUUUUGUGUGUAUUUGUAUUUGAUGUAUAUGUGGUAUAUGUAUGUAAAAGUAUGUGAAUUUCACCUUCUUAUGUAUUAUGUAAAACUAUGUGGUUUUGGUAUAAGUAGGAUGCUAUAAUUGAAAUAAAAAAAAAUACAUUAUUUUUAUAAAUUGAAAAAAAAACACAAAAAAAAACUAUAAAAUUGUUUAAAAACUUAAAUACAAAAACUAGAAAGCUUCUAGUUUUUACCCAAGCUAACUCCAAAUUAAUUAACCAAUAAGUUAUAUAGUUAACUUAUAAUUGGAAAAAAAACACAAAAAUAAUUAUAAAAUUCUUUAAAAACUUAUAUAUAUUUUAAUCUCGACGGUAAAAAAAACAACACAACAACAUAAUACGUAUGUAAAAGUAUGUGGUUUUCUUAUAAGUAGGAUGCUAUAAUUGAAAAAAAAAAUACAUUAUUUUUAUAAAUUGAAAAAAAAAACACAAAAAAAAACUAUAAAAUUGUUUAAAAACUUAUAUACAAAAACUAGAAAGCUUCUAGUUUUUACCCAAGCUAACUCCAAAUUAAUUAACCAAUAAGUUAUAUAAUUAACUUAUAAUUGGAAAAAAAAACACAAAAAAAAUUAUAAAAAUCUUUAAAAACUUAUAUACAUUUUAAUCUCGACGGUAAAAAAAACAACACAACAACAUAAUACGUAUGUAAAAAUAUGUGGUUUUCUUAUAAGUAGGAUGCUAUAAUUGAAAAAAAAAAUACAUUAUUUUUAUAAAUUGAAAAAAAAAAAAAAAACACAAAAAAAUAUAUAAAA